rnacentral:lncRNA from 1 species
CUUGAAAUAAUUCAAAACAAGGGAAUGUUCAGCUCUGCUCAAAAAUGUUCAUUAUGAACAUUACAGGAUGCUGAUUUGUGCAGCCUAAGCACAAUCCCAACAGUGUGUUUCUAAAUGUUUUAAUCUAAAACUCAACAUUAAUUCUGAUGAAAUGCUACUGUGGUUGAUAAGUUUUAGUCCUGGGAAUCUAGUAUCUUGCAUCUAUUCUUGAUUUUCUACAGACUUGUUUCCUGGCUUGUCCUUACUCUUCACUUAGAAGCUUCAAGCUGUAUUCCUAAAUCCAAGGUGUCAAUGAAGGGUGAACUGUAUCAAGCACAGAGGAUUAUUCUGUUUGUUUCUAAAGCAAACUUCAAAGAUGAAAAAUUUGGAAAAAUCAGAGAAAGCAGUGGAUGUACAAGGCUAAUUCAGAACAACCUUUCUGGAAUUACCACUGCAACCACUGGAGCAAAUAUGAUGAAGAGAAUUACCAGCACUGUUACUCAAUAUAAAUGGCUCAGAAAAUGCCUUUCCUCCCUCUGUAAAAUAUCCAUCUCAAACGUUUAA